CAGCAGCCGCGGUAAUACGUAGGUCCCGAGCGUUGUCCGGAUUUAUUGGGCGUAAAGCGAGCGCAGGCGGUUAGAUAAGUCUGAAGUUAAAGGCUGUGGCUUAACCAUAGUACGCUUUGGAAACUGUUUAGCUUGAGUGCAAGAGGGGAGAGUGGAAUUCCAUGUGUAGCGGUGAAAUGCGUAGAUAUAUGGAGGAACACCGGUGGCGAAAGCGGCUCUCUGGCUUGUAACUGACGCUGAGGCUCGAAAGCGUGGGGAGCAAACAGGAUUAGAUACCCCGGUAGUCCCUGUCUCUUAUACA
rnacentral:rRNA from 1 species